GGCUCAGGACGAACGCUGGCGGCGUGCCUAAUACAUGCAAGUCGAGCGGACCUCUUCGGAGGUCAGCGGCGGACGGGUGAGUAACACGUGGGCAACCUGCCUGUAAGACUGGGAUAACUCCGGGAAACCGGAGCUAAUACCGGAUAUUAUNUCAAACCGCAUGGUUUGACAUUCAAAGACGGUUUCGGCUGUCACUUACAGAUGGGCCCGCGGCGCAUUAGCUAGUUGGUGAGGUAAUGGCUCACCAAGGCAACGAUGCGUAGCCGACCUGAGAGGGUGAUCGGCCACACUGGGACUGAGACACGGCCCAGACUCCUACGGGAGGCAGCAGUAGGGAAUCUUCCGCAAUGGACGAAAGUCUGACGGAGCAACGCCGCGUGAGUGAUGAAGGUUUUCGGAUCGUAAAACUCUGUUGUCAGGGAAGAACAAGUGCCGGAGUAACUGCCGGCACCUUGACGGUACCUGACCAGAAAGCCACGGCUAACUACGUGCCAGCAGCCGCGGUAAUAC
rnacentral:rRNA from 1 species